GUUAAUGUAACCCAGUUGGAAUUUUAUAGUUCUAGGAGUCUGGAUUUUCAUUUUUAAGGUAAGUGUGUUUUUUUUUUUUUUGUCUGCUUUUUGCUUAUUUUUGAAACCAUUUUGAGAAGCGUAAAAAUAAAUUUAUAUAUGUGAUCCACUGUUGUAUAUAAGUAAGCGUUUUUUUUUUUUUUUUAAAUGAGAGCAAUGUGACAGCUAUAUAUUACCAGGUGAAGAUAUUACAUAUAAAGUAUUCUGUAGAUAUUUGUGUCCAAAGAUACUUUUGAUUGGGGAAGUUUCUUGGAGAUGUUAGCAUGAAGUUAGUGUUUGGAUGAGGAUACUUAUAAAGAGUUAUGCAUAUUAAUGUGGUAAUUUCUAAUUAGCAAAACGACUUUCAAAUAAACAAUCUAGCUAUGUGUCUAAGGAGCAAUGUCUUUAAUUGCCCUGUGAUAAACCCACAGCUGGGUAACAGAUAGCAGUAAAAUCUGUCAAUGAAACCAAUAUUGUUAUGCUUCACCAGCUCUGUUCACUUGUUAGAGUGCGUUAAGCGGAAUUCUAAUGGAGAAUUAUUUGAAAGACAUUUAGGCACGCUGGAACAUAUUUCUGUUCAUACGAUGUGAUUUAGUGGAAUGCAUUAUCCUUCAAAGCUAAUCAUAAAAAAAGCAACACACAUACAAAAGCAUUUCGGUAAAAGUUUCCUCCUUUUUUUUUUUUUUUUUUUAAGUUUUCUCCUUUAAAGACUUAUGUGUCGAAAGGAUAAACCUGGCCGGGAUUAUCGAUAUUGGGGCAGAAUAUAUAUUGCCCUUGUAUCUUAUGUGUGGACACUGGGUACUUCUAGGCCAUUGUGGUUGCCUUUUAAUUAGACUAAACUUCACUCGAGAUUAGUAGACGCUUUCUUUACAGUAGUAUUCUUAGUCUGCUUCGUGAUGUUUAUUAUUAAACAUUUUGUUAAAUUUUCUGAACUCUUCAUCUACUAUGUGAUUUUUGUAAUAUUACUCUCAUUCACAUGGAUGGGAAUGACCAUGGCUUAUAUUAUUCAAAACAAUUUUUUUUUAAAGCUUAUUUCUUUUUUGAGAGAAAGAGAGACCGAGCAUGAACGGGGGAGGGGGAAAGAGCGAGGGAGACCCAGAACGUGAAGCAGGCUCCAGGCUCCGAGCUGUCAGCACAGAGCCUGAUGCAGAGCUAGAACCCAUGAAUAGAGACAUCAUGACCUGAGCCGAAGUCUGAUGCUUAACUGACUGAGCGACCCAGGCGUCCCAUUACCAUGGUUUAUAUUCAAGGUAGGGGAUUGAACACAUUCAGAUUACCUUUCAGGAAGUCACAGAGUAAAGAUUUAGACCCAGAGAGCAGGUCAGCCUGUGGUAACCGUGGCCUCUCACUGCCCUGCAUGCUUUUCCAGUGUCCUUCUGAUAACAGAUCUUUGUUUUCCUUUUGGUACCAACCCUGCCCAUUCCACGUGAACUUGGCGGGCCUGGCAGUCACAUCGGCCUGCCCUCUCGUGACCCCAGAAGCCAGGCACAUAAUUCAGAGUAUCCUUUUGGCACGGCUACAGCGAUUGAUUCUGAGAUUGGCACGUGGACCAAUUUGAGUCCAUCACUAACCGCCUCCUCUAAAAUCUCAGAGUUCGCUAUUUUCUGCCGGAGUUGCUACACUGAGAGAAUGCAGUGGGCAGCGCUGGGGGUCAUCUCGGGGAGACACAGGUUGAAGUAUGAAGCCAAGUGAGGUAAAAAAAAAAAGGAGGAGGGAUAGAGAAAUGGAGGCCUGGAGACAUUAUUUACUUCCUCACACUAGCUGUGCCUGAAAUCCGUGAUAAUUCUACGCCUCCCAGAAAUACGGGAUUGCCUUUUUUUUUUUCCCAAGAGCUCAUUUGAGUUGGGUUUCCAUCAUUUGAAACUCAGAGUCAUGAUUCCUACGGAGGGUUACCUGUUUGUUUGGGCAACACUCAAAGCAGGCUAUAUUAAUUAGAAAGCCUGAGUCUAAUUACUUACAGGUCACAUCAAAAUAGAGGUCUUCUCUACUAAAGGUGGAAGGUACAGUUUGGGAGACAGUUCUGCUAAUUCAACAAAAUAUAUCGAUAAGUGUUCUUAGAGACUUCCAAAGACCAUUUUACGCAUCAUUUUUGCUUCAGUUCAACACUGUAUAUCUAUAAAGGAGAUCCACUUCAUGAGAUAAUUCAUUUAGUUUGGUGGGUUAUACGUACAAAGUGAUCUAGGAAAAAAAAAAAAAAGCACAUUGCACAAUAAAACCAAAAGAGAACACACCCCUUUCUUACUCGGUCGUUAGAAAUACUGCCUCAGAAUUGUCUGAGUCCUCUUCCUGUGGCUCCUCUGGGAAUGGAGUAGCCCUCCCCUUACUUGUGGUUUCAGUUACCCACGGUCAACUACCGUCCAGAAGCAGAUGAUCCUUCUGAUGUAUUGUCAGAAGGUCAGUGGUUGCCUAAUGCUAUGUCCCAAUAUCUACAUCAUUAACGUCACUUCAUCUCAUUCCAUGAACAUUUGGUCAUCUCAUAUCGUCACAAGGAGAAGGGUGAAUACAGUACAAUAAGAUACUUUAAGAGAGACCAUAGCCAUGGAACUUUUAUAACAGCAUAUUACUAUAAUCAUUCUAUUUUACUACCAGCUAUUGGUGUUGAUCUCUGACUGUGCCUAAUUUAUAAAUUAAACUUUAUCGUAGGUAUGUAUGUGUAGGAAAAAACAGUAUAUAUAUAGACUUUGGUACUGUCCAGUAUCAGACAUCCACUGGGCAUCUUGGCAUGUAUCCCCUGUGGAUAAAAAAGGGCUAUUGUAUUACUGUGAGGCUUGCCCCCAAGACCUCAUGUCCCCAUGUCUUUCUGAUUUAAGUCCCAAAUUUUCCAACCCCCAUUGGGUCACCCCCAGCCUCUAGGGCCUCAUACCUUUAUCUUGUCUUUAUUUUUCUAUUUUGCAGCCUUGAUCCAAUUUCUGAGACCCCCCCCCCCAACCCCCAAAUGUCAUUUCUUCUGGGUUCGGUGUGUUCAAUAAUAGUUCUUUAGGCAAAACUCUUCCUGGACUAACUUAUGUUCCAGGACUCUGUCUUCACUCACAAUGACUUUGAGAAGUCUCCUUCCCUCCCAGAUCUGGUCUGUCAUUUCCAGAAUAUGACAUGAGAAUCAUUAAGUAAGUGAGCCUUUCCCAAUCGGGUUUCUCUCUGACUUCUAAAAUUUCAGAGAUUCAUUCUCUUGUCUUGUUUCCUUCCUUGAUAAAAUGUCAUCGAUCAUUUUUUGGGGGGAGGGGAGCUGUGUUAGACCUCGUGGUUGACUCCAUAAUAUCCAUCGUACGCACCUCCCCCCCAGGCUGGGUUGGGAGAUUUUGUGCCAGCUUCAGGGUGGGUGGGGCCCUGAUUAGUCUCAGUCAAUAAUGGCCCUUCUUCUCCUUAUCAGUAGUUGGUUCAGGAACUCAGACAGAACACAGCAUUCCAUGUAUGACAGCUUAGGGGUAAAUGACAUAUGUUGGUCUAAACAGACAAAAAAGAAGGCUUUGAUUCAGUGGCUGGGGAAAUCAUCCAUCUCUCUCUCUCCUUCUCUAUUCCUCCUCACUUGCCCCUCCAGUAGACAUGAAAGGCCUAAGCGAUACAUGUAGCUGUCCUAUAACCACAGGGAAAACAACCUUAGGAUGAAGCUGAAUUGUGUUAAGCAGAGAGAUAGAAAGAACCUGAGUGUUUCAUGACAUUGUCCAGUCCCUGGAUAGGCCUAAUCCUUAUCAAGGCUUCCAGAUAAGUGAGUCAUACAUUCUGCGUUCAAACCCUUAACUUUCACAAAGCUAAUGUAACUAAUACAAUGGCUUUAUUAGUGUUCUUUUCUGUGGUCAGGUUUUGAAUCCAGGGGAGUAAGUACAGCCCAGAGGGAAGUCAAAGGAAAAUAUUUCCCAGAGGAGGAAAGAAUAGGGAGUGAGAAACACCAGAAAUAAGCUUUUCAUACUUUGCAGUGUGCCAGAGGGUCAGCUUUCUAUCCAAGUAGCCUGGAGAUAUGAUUAUAUCAUUUUUUUCCCCCUCUUAACCAGGGAUAAAGACUCCUUUUCAGACACUUGCCUUGAAACCCUCCAAAUCGUGGUACAAUGAUGGAGAGACUUGUCCAGUGCUCCAGGCAAAGAUCAUAAGGUUGGGCCCUAAGUCCAGCAAAUAAUAAGAGCUAACAUUAACAUUUAUAAACCAUUUUCCAGUUUGCCACUACCUGAUUUCAUCUGAGCCCGAGAACAAUUCUUCAGAGUAACUUUUCAUCAUCUUCAUUGACAAAUGAGGCAGCUAAGGCUUGGGGAGACAAACUGAAUGAAUGGCACAGAGCCACCCAGCUGGAGACAAAGAAUCCAGGACCAAAGGCUGGAAUUCUGACUCGAAGCUUCACUGUUGCGACCAUCCCACACCACCCCUUUGCCCUCCCAUGUGGCUUCUCUGUUCCCUGGCGUUUUCUUCUACAUUCAGAAUCAGUUUUCCUCGUUGGCUUGUCUUUGGGAAGGCAGCCCCAGGCCUUCCUUAUCUGUUUGUGGUUGCUGGACUUCUCUUACCAUGAAAAGGGCUUUAUUUCUUGGCAUUGAGUCCCGUUCCUUAUCCACUCCUUUUCUCCAUUACUUCACUGGGCUUCCUGUUGGUUUGGAGUCAUGAACACUCCGGGUUGACAACUGAGGUCAAUUUCUGCAUUCGAUUCAAAGGAAACUGGGUUGGAUGAAUUCGACACAAUGGUGAACUUAGUGGAUCAUUACGUCUUAAGUAAGUCCCAGGAAAUGUGACGAAACUAUAGAAAAGGUAUCCUUAAUCCGAAAUGAUGUGAGCUAAGCGCGAAUAAACUCUUUGGGUCUUAAUGACACCCAUGAGACUUUUGAUGUCUGACCAUAGAUGUGGAAGAAAGAUAAAGGAAGAAAAAUUGAAAAGCAGCGAAAAAGUAGGAGGGGGGGAAAAAUGUAUGCACAAACAUUGGGAGUCAAAGAGCAUGUUUAUGCAAUAAUUUUCUAACCUCUAAAGUUUUUCUCCCAUUUUUGAGUUAAAGUAGGCAUUGCUGAGCAAGGACGAUUAGCCAUUCCACAGAAGCUCUUGAGGACCACAGAACAUAUUAAAUCAGUAAUUUGUGUGAUGGGCCUGAUAGAGUUAGCAGCUGACAAAAUGGCAGAUGUAAUCAAUAACCUGCCGACUCACAAAACAGUUGAUUUGGCCCCCAAAUACCUAUUGUGUUUAUUAGUGAAUCCCACGUACAGAAUGUGAAUUACAAGACAGUGUUGAUCAUUUUCCGCAGUUGUUUAUUUUUCUUUCCCUCCAUAAGCCCUUAUGAAUUAAAAUGCAAAGUAGAGGUUAGGAACUCCGAGAAAUCUUGUUUUGCUCAUUUUUUUUUUUUUUUUUCCCAGCGCACAUUUGCAUUUUCGAUGGCUGCAAUCUCUGCCUCCCUGCUUUGGUUUGGCGAGGCAUACGGUUGUUGUACUCUGCCUUAUGAAUAUUAUGAUUUAGCUAAGGUGAAACUUGGAUAGGGAUCAGAACAUGUCAACCGGGGACUAUUAGGUUAAGAGAACUAGACCUCUGGCCUCUCUUUGGGGCUUGUGAUGUCUUUGAAUCCCCUGAUGUAGGAAAUUUGGAUGCUGGGGAUUUCUUCCACACUCAAGAAAAGGAUAGGAUGGGUUUUAUAUGUACUUAAACUUUGUCUUUUAUAACCAGGUGGCAGCCAAUUUAUUUAAAGCACUGAUGAAUAAGAGGAACCCUGGAAGGGAACAUUUGACUCAUCCUUAUCUUUACUCUCAGGAGGACGAUAAUCCCUGGAAUCAGGGAACAUUCAAAUAAACCAUGUAACGCUGGAUCCAACUGAUUAUCCUCAUUAGCAGAACCCUGAGAUUUACUGAGAAUAAUUGAAAGUUGCAUUUGGCAUGUGUCUUAAUUGUUACUCUGCAGAAGGCAAUAUAAGGGAAGAUUUUGAAUAUAUCAGAUGACAGAGUUAUAGUGUAGAUAAGUCUGGGAAAACAUUUGCAAAGUUUAUCCAUAUAACAUGCCUUAAGUUGUCAGGCAGUAUAUUUGCGUCGUAAGAAAAAUGUUCAAGAAGACAGGCAGCAUGGGACGUCCAUCCUGCGUGGUGUUUCUCCGUCUUGAUACGGGAGAACUUGGUAACUAGAGCAAAGCCAUAAGCUGUGCAAUCAUUCUGAAUUUGCAUUCACUUAAGGAAAGAUUGUGAAUGUCCUGAUUUGUUUUCACUUUUUCUGGCCCUCACGAGCCCUAUCCCACUGCCUUGGUGUGCAUUUCAUAGCAUCGCUCAGCUGUGCAAGUUUUUGUUUUUGUUUUUUUCUCCUUGUUAAUUUUCUAUCCAAUCCCCAAAGUGAAGCUUGCAGGAGGGAUGAAGGCCGGAAAAUAGCAAGUUAUGAAUAGGUCAAGGGAUAUGAACAAGCCAUCGUGUAGCCUCCAAGCUUUUCAAGCUUUUCUCUCUUAAGGUUUCGGAUGUGCGUGUGUUUGGCUAUGCCGAGAGACAAAAGGAGGUCAUCUUCCCAGUUCCUAUUUCAGAGACAAUAACAGGCACAAAAGUGCAGCAAAUAGCCACCAUCGUUUAGUACACAAUAGAAAUGUGUUUAAAUUUUUUUUAAUGUUUCUUUAUUUUUGAGAGAGAGAGAUAGAGUGUGAGUGGGGAAGGGGCAGAGAGGGAGGGAGGCACAGGAGCCGAAGCAGGCGCCGGGCUCUGAGCUGUCAGCCCAGAGCCGGACACGGGGCUCCAACUCACAGACCACGAGAUCAUGACCCGAGCCGAAGUUGGACGCUCAAACGACUGAGCCACCCAGGCGCCCCUAGAAAUGUGUUUGUAUUAAUCGUCUCAGUGCCCAGGAGGACGGUCAUAUUAUUGCAUUUGACAGGUGAGGAACGGGAGAAACAGAAAAGUUAGGUAAAUGGGCUCAAACUUGCACACCUGGAGGCUAAAAGUGUUAAGAGUGUAAACCCAGACCUGGAGCCUGCUGAAGCCUGUGCAUUUCUUACCGUGCUCUGUGCUUUUUUUAAAGAAGGGUCUUGAGAACGUAGAGGAACAGAUGGGGCCGCUGGUUACAUGAGCCCUUCUACGAUUGCCUUAUUCUCUCCUGACUGCAUUUCCCCCUCGCUUUUCUACCCACCACACUCAAGGAAGAAAACAAUGGGGCAGAACCAAAAAAGAGACUUUAGUUGUCACUGACUUAGAAGUAAAAGGAGCUAGUCUUGGAAAGUAGACUUUCCAAACAGGCGAUUUGGCCAUGUUUCCAAAUUCUAAACUUGGAGGCUCAGCUCUUUCCAUUGAGCAAAUUAUCAAGAAAAUCAUUUAGAUGGGAUUUCCUCUGAAAUGUAGAUACAUCUUAUUUCAGAAUUUUGGCUACCAAAGACCCAUUAUCACUUAUUUGCAUUGCAGCCUUACGCUGCCGGUCUGCAACCUUCCUAUGAAUAAGAUUCAUCCAGGAGGGAGUCAAUUAGUGCUCUUCAGUUUUAAGUAACAGGAAUCUUCCCUGGUUACUAUAAGCAGCAAGGAUUUGGGCAGCUCUCAGAAAUAAAGGGAAGGCUGGAGAACAGGGCCAGAAAAAGGAGAGAGACAGGGGUGUAGGUAGGAGGAACUAAUUUUGUUUCCUAUCUACAUUCAACUUUGUGAUGUCAUUGAAUCCGAAGAUGUUUAAGUAACUAUCUAUAGUGGACAGAAUUCUAAGAUGGGCCUCAAGAUUCCCACCCACUGUGUCUUAGUGUUCUUAGAGAAAAAGAACCAAUAGAAUAUACACGUAUAUUCUGAAUAUAUUUAUAUAUUCUGGAUAUGUGUAUAUAUUCUGGAUAUAAAAAAUAUAAAAUGUAUUUAAAUCUACAAACGAUGUUUAGAUGUUUAUAUGUAUUCUGGAUUAAAACAUAAAAUUUAUUUAUAUCUACCUACAAUAUUGAUAGAUUUACUCUGGAUACAAAACACAUAAAACAUAUUUAUAUCUAUAUAUAAUAUUUAUAUAUAUUAUGGAUAUACAUAAUAUGGAUAUAAAAAUAAAACUAAAAACAUAUGAAAUAUAUAUUUAGAAUAAAAAAUAAAUAAAACAAAUAUAAAUAUGUGUCAUACACAUAUAACAUUCAUAUAUGCAUUUUUUUAAUGCUUAUUUUUGAAGGAGAGAGAGACAGCAUGGGUGGGGGAGGGGCAGAGAGAGAGGGAGACACAGAAUCCGAAGCAGGCUCCAGGCUCCCAGCUGUCAGCACAGAACCCGACGUGGGGCUCGAACUCAUGAACCGUGAGAUCAUGACCUGAGCCAAAGUUGGAUGCUUAACUGACUGAGCCACCCAGGUGCCCCACAAUAUUCAUAUAUAUAUAUAUAUAUAUAUAUAUAUAUAUAUACACAAAGAGGUUUAUGAUGAGGGUUUGGUUGACAGGAUUAUGGAGCGUAAGUCUGACAGUCUGCCAUUUACAAGGUGGAGGCCAAGGAAAGCCGGUGGUGUAGUUCCCAUCCCAACCCAAAGGCUGGAGAAGCAGGAGCUUCUAUGUGUGAGGGCAGGAGAAGAUGAUGUCCCACCUCAACAGAGAGCAAACUCGCCCAUUGCUCAGUCUUUUUGUUCUACUCCACAAAUUGGCUGAUGAAAACUUGCAUUGAUGAAGGCCAUCUUUUUUAUUUUAAUUAAUUAACUAGUUAAUUAAUUAAAACAUCUACUUAUUUAUUUUGAGAGAGAGAGAGAGAGAGAGAGAGUGAGCCAGCAGAGAAGAGGGAUGGAGGGAGGGAGAGAAAGAAUCCCAAGCAGGCUCCACAUCCAAUGCAAAGCCUGAUGCGGGGCUGGAUCCCAAGACCACGAGAUCAUGACCUGAGCUGAAAUCAAGAGUCGGAUGCUUUAUGGAAUAAAUGCCCUGAGGACCAUCUUUUUGUUCAGUCUACAAUUCAAGAGCUAAUGUCUUUUGGAAAUACCCUCACAGAUAGUCCUAGAGAUAAUGUUCUAUCAGCUGUCUGGGCACCCUUUAGCUCAGUCAAGUUGACAUGUAAAAAUAAAUCAUCACACUCUGUUACACCCAUCCUGUGUAAUCCCUUGAGUGUGGGUGAGAUUAUGAGUGAUGGGCUAUCACUUCUGUCAACAGGUUACUCUACUAAUCAGCUGGCUUUGAGUUCAUCGAAAGAAGGAUUAUCCUAGGUUCACCUGACCUAAUCAGAUGAGCUCUUAAACCAGGACUGGGCCCUCUCUGGGGUAAGAGAUUUUAUGAGAAAGAGAUUCUCUUACUGACCUUGAAGCUGAAUACUGCCAUGGACAAGGCCAUACGGCAGGGAGCUGUGGGCACCUCCAGGAGCUGGGAGUGGCCCUGAACAACAGCUAGUCGGAAAGUGGGACCUCGGUCCUCUGGUUGCCAGGAGCUGAAUUCGGCCAUCAGGCAGCUGGGUUGGAAGAGGACAGAACCCUCUCUGCAGCUCCAGCCAACACCUGAUUUCAGCCUGUGAGACCCCAAGCAGAGAACCCCCCACCCUGUGUCUGGACUUCUGACCCACACGACUGUUGAGAUAACAAAUGGGUAUUGUUUCCAGGUGCUCAGUUUGUGACGAUGGAGUCUAUACCACCUCCAUGCCGCUGACUCUAAAAUCUAGACCCUCUUUCCUAACUUCAGUCUGAUACCCAACCACCGACUUGCUGUCUCUGCCUGGACGUCUAAGAGACAUGGCAAACAUAAUGUGUCCCGAACCGAGCUUCCCUCUCUCCUGUCAACCCACUCUUCCUAUCCUCCUUUUAUGCCCAAAGUGACAACUCUCUCCUUACAGUUGCUUACCUCAAGAACUCUGAGUUUUGUUUCACUUUCAAUCCGUGAGUUUUAAACUUUGACUCUACUUCUCACUAAUGGCUCUGCUGUCACCCUGGUCUUUACCACCCAACGCGUUUCACAUGGGCUAGUGCAGCCGUCUAAAUGACUUCCCAGAUUUCCCCCCGGGUCUCCUACAGUCUGCCUUCGAUACAACAACCGGAGUGAGGUCGUUACAUGAAAACUCUAGUCAGUCAUCUGUGUAGAGCCUUCAGUGGCUCUCCGGUAGACUGAGUUAUUAGUCCCUAUUCUCAUUUCUCCCUUUGCCAUAUGACUUUGCAGUCCUUCUCACUGGGGGUGAACGAGGUGGCUCCAUUCCUUGACUCGGGUCACUUAACUUGCUUCGAGCAAGUAGAGAGAAGUGGGGCAAGGUGUACAGAAAUGACAAUAUCUCAGUGCUGAGUUUAGGCCUUACGAGUUUCACCGUCUGUACCUCACUGUUGCUGAGAGAACCUGCCCUGGCUGGCUCAGUUGUUCAAGUGGAUGAGAGACCCUUGGAGCAGACAAGAACACAGCCUGCCAUUUAACGCUGCCCAGAUGAGCCCAGCCUAG
rnacentral:lncRNA from 1 species